rnacentral:lncRNA from 1 species
CUCCAAUCACCGUCUGUGUGAUGCGGUCCUGAACAACACAAAAGAGAUUGUAUAUUAUCCAAAUAUGGUUUCGAGGUGAUCAAACUCUUCAAAGUUUCAAUACAAACACUUAUUAUUAUUUAGAUUAUUUUUCUUUUCUUUUAAUAGAAUUUAUUUUUUAUAAAUGACAUUCGCCAAUUUAGGCUUAAUAAGAUAUGUAUUUUACAAGCAUACACAAUUACAAACGAAAACGAAAAUUGUCUGCGCCGACAAGGAGGAGGAGGUUAGACAAUCUGGAUGGUGGCCGGAAGCAACGAAUCCUAACAACUAGAACCGGCGAAUACAAAGCCUACUACUUUGCGACCAUGUCAACAGGUUCGGGAUCAUUGACCAAAGUAUCCAGUUUCCGUCUCCGAUCCUAUCCGAUCCGACGACUCGCCUGACAUCUCAUUCUCGAAUUUAUGCCUAGAAAAAUGGCUAAUGCAGAUUUAAGUCCUCGACUACCGAAGCCGUCAACCGACAACCCUUUUCGAGAAAACAAUCUUCAUAUCCGGUCCAAUGAAAGCGAAUCGCGGAAACUUAAGAAGGAUGAUGGCUCAAACAAUUUCUCAAAAGCCGGAUCCAGUGAAAACCAUUUCAGACCCAGAGAUAAUUUUUCUAUAAUAAUAUUUGUUAUAUUUAAAUUCAAAUAUUAAUAUUUGAAAAACGCUAAAGAGACAAACUCAACAAAUUAUAUUGGGGCUGAUUGGUUAAAACUUUUAAAACUUUAGAAAUUUUUUUAACCGUUCUCAAAGUUUGUUUUUCUCUAAUUAAGGGGCCGAUUG